rnacentral:rRNA from 1 species
GAUGAACGCUGGCGGCGUGCCUAAUACAUGCAAGUCGAGCGAACGGACGAUAAGCUUGCUUCUCUGAUGUUAGCGGCUGACGGGUGAGUAACACGUGGAUCACCUACCUAUUAUACUUGGAUAACUUCGUGAAACCGGUUCUACUACCAGCUAAUAUUUUGUACCGCAUGGUUCAAAAGUUCAAGACGGUCUUGCUGUCACUUAUAGAUGGAUCCGCGCUGCAUUAGCUAGUUGGUAAGGUAACGGCUUACCAAGGCAACGAUGCAUAGCCGACCUGAGAGGGUGAUCGGCCACACUGGAACUGAGACACGGUCCAGACUCCUACGGGAGGCAGCAGUAGGGAAUAUUGCGCAAUGGGCGAAAGCCUGACGGAGCAACGCCGCGUGAGUGAUGAAGGUCUUCGGAUCGUAAAACUCUGUUAUUAGGGAAGAACAGAUGUGGAAGUAACUGUGCACAUCUUGACGGUACCUAAUCAGAAAGCCACGGCUAACUACGUG